rnacentral:rRNA from 1 species
AAGUCUGGUGCCAGCAGCCGCGGUAAUUCCAGCUCCAAUAGCGUAUAUUAAACUUGUUGCAGUUAAAAAGCUCGUAGUUGAAUUUCUGCGUUAUCGAGUUAUUGACUCUUGUCUUUAAUCGAUUUCGCUUUUGGGAUUUAUCCCUUUUUACUUUGAGAAAAUUAGAGUGUUUCAAGCAGACUUUUGUCUUGAAUACUUCAGCAUGGAAUAAUAGAGUAGGACUUUGGUUCUAUUUUGUUGGUUUUUGAACCUUAGUAAUGGUUAAUAGGAACGGUUGGGGGCAUUCGUAUUUAACUGUCAGAGGUGAAAUUCUUAGAUUUGUUAAAGACGAACUACUGCGAAAGCAUUUGCCAAGGACGUUUCCAUUAAUCAAGAACGAAAGUUAGGGGAUCGAAGACGAUCAGAUACCGUCGUAGUCCUAACCAUAAACUA